rnacentral:piRNA from 1 species
UCCAAGAAAUACUGGGAGUGCUGGACCC